UACGUAGGCAGCGAGCGUUGUUCGGAGUUACUGGGCGUAAAGGGUGUGUAGGCGGUUGUCUAAGUUUGGUGUGAAAUCUCCCGGCUCAACUGGGAGGGUGCGCCGAAUACUGAAUGACUAGAGUGCGGGAGAGGAAAGUGGAAUUCCUGGUGUAGCGGUGAAAUGCGUAGAUAUCAGGAGGAACACCGGUGGUGUAGACGGCUUUCUGGACCGUAACUGACGCUGAGACACGAAAGCGUGGGUAGCAAACAGG
rnacentral:rRNA from 1 species